rnacentral:rRNA from 1 species
UGAGGAAUAUUGCACAAUGGGGGAAACCCUGAUGCAGCGACGCCGCGUGGGUGAUGAAGGUUUUCGGAUCGUAAAGCCCUUUUCUGCAUGACGAGCAAAGGACGGUAGUGCAGGAAUAAGUGUCGGCUAACUACGUGCCAGCAGCCGCGGUAAAACGUAGGACACAAGCGUUAUCCGGAAUUACUGGGCGUAAAGGGAGUGCAGGCGGUUGAAUAAGUUAGGCGUGAAAGACUUCGGCUAAACCGGGGGAGGUCGUCUGAUACUGUUCAACUAGAGUAUGGUAGAGGCGUGUAGAAUUCCGGGUGUAGUGGUGAAAUGCGUAGAGAUCCGGAGGAAUACCAGUGGCGAAGGCGGCACGCUGGGCCAUAACUGACGCUAAGACUCGAAAGCAUGGGUAGCGAACGGGAUUAGAUACCCCCGUAGUCCCUGAGCGGGCUGGCAAGGCGCAU